AUCCAUCUUCAAUCACUUACAGGAACAGACAAACCACAGGCAGAGUGAUCAAUGGAGAAAUAUUCAGUCCCUAUCACCUUUACACUCCUCCUGCAACAUGAAGCUGACAGAUAACUGGCUUAAAGAGCCAGGUGGAAAUAUUCCCUGUGGAAGAGAAUCCUUGACAACUUAGAAAACUUGGCAUCUGGCUAAUCAUCAGCUGAAAAAAUGACAGGUUGAAGAGAGGUGAUUAGUCAGCAAGAGUUUCAGGCAGCAACGGAGUGCAGCAGCCUCUACACAUAUCUUGAUAUGGAGACCAGGUUGAGACAUUCCUACGAAAGAAAUGACAUGAAAUGCUCAGUGCAGUAGCCACAGUGGCAUGGUUCAUUCCAUGUUAGUGAACUGCCUAUCUGCCUCAUGCUACCAGCCAACAACAAGUUGUCAGCCUCUCCCGAUGAAGUGAAUUGCAGAUCUACAAGUUGGCCAGUUUACCCAGCUUUGGUUCUCAGCAGAGUACCAAGCUGCUCGUGCCUUACAUACAGCCUUUAAUCCUUUCUGGGAUGACGUCCCCUGAUGCUAACGAUGGAGACAAGGAUUUGGAGAUAGCAACAAACAAAAAGGAGAUUUCAUUUCAUU